GACGAACGCUGGCGGCGUGCCUAAUACAUGCAAGUCGAGCGAACAGACGAGGAGCUUGCUCCUUCGACGUUAGCGGCGGACGGGUGAGUAACACGUAGGUAACCUACCUAUAAGACUGGGAUAACUUCGGGAAACCGGAGCUAAUACCGGAUAACAUUUCGAACCGCAUGGUUCGAUAGUGAAAGAUGGCUUUGCUAUCACUUAUAGAUGGACCUGCGCCGUAUUAGCUAGUUGGUAAGGUAACGGCUUACCAAGGCAACGAUACGUAGCCGACCUGAGAGGGUGAUCGGCCACACUGGAACUGAGACACGGUCCAGACUCCUACGGGAGGCAGCAGUAGGGAAUCUUCCGCAAUGGGCGAAAGCCUGACGGAGCAACGCCGCGUGAGUGAUGAAGGUCUUCGGAUCGUAAAACUCUGUUAUUAGGGAAGAACAAACGUGUAAGUAACUGUGCACGUCUUGACGGUACCUAAUCAGAAAGCCACGGCUAACUACGUG
rnacentral:rRNA from 1 species